CAGAAACCUUCUUUCCUUCUCCCUGAGCUAGACCCCGAGCAACUUCAGCUCCCCUUUUGGUUCUUCUCCCCUAAUCAGAGACAUUCUUUCCCUUUCCCAAUUAUGGUUAUUCUCUCCCUGAUCUAGGUUUUCUACACAGAAGAGUCUCAUCAACCUCUCCCCGAUCUAGGUCAAGAAGACACUGUUGAUGGAGUUCUUCGAUUUCACGAACGCAGCAACCUGCAAGGCUGUAACCAACAACCCAUCUCCUGCAUGUCUCCGAGCUCCGCCUCCAGCCUUUCAAGCCCCAGCGGCCACCACCGAACUCAGGGUUGGAGACUUGGAGCACUCCCGAGUCCCGAACACGGAACACAACGUGCAAGGCUGUAACCAGCAACCAGCAUAUCGUUCGAUUCAGUGUUUGAGGAGGUUGGAAUGAAAAAGGCAUACCAAAAGAAAGUGAUUGAGAAAAUUAUAGCAGAAAGGGACUGUUUGAUUGUCAUGGCUACUGGAAGUGGCAAGUCUUUGUGGCAGUGAGGCAGAUGUGUAUCUUUUCGAUGGUUGCAUUACACCGUGGAAAGUCCCAAAUGGGAAAGACCUCCUUUUUGUGAGACCUGAUGCUGUGUUUGAUGGGAAGAAACUGAUCAGAAACUCUCUGAACCUUAUGUCCAUAUGAGGUGCAAACGCUUGAAUAUGUGACUCAAAGAUCAUCAAAGAAAAAAUUCCUUGCAAAAGGCCAUUUUUCUUGUAGUGUAAAGGUAAAAUUGAUUUGUUGUUGAUUAUGGUUUAAUUGUUUGAGUUCGGAUUUGAAUUGGGUAUGUGAGAUUAUGAUUGAUUAGUGUGGUUUUGUGGGGUUGUGCUACUUUUUCUUGUGCAGGAAUUUGAUGGGGUAUAUGGACCAGCAUGGCACUGCAUUGUAGGAAUAAAUUUUGGGUCUUUUGUGACACACUCAGUAAGUGGCUUUAUGUAUUUCUCAAUGGAUCAAAAGUUGUACAUCCUCUUGUUUAAGACCAUAGUACAAAGAGCAGACUGAAAGUUUUUCAAUCAUUUUUAGCAUAGGAAGAAGAAGUUAUGGAAAAGCUUUAAAAAUAAGUUGUAAUUCUUUCUGGCUUGUACAGUGUUUAAUGCAGCAGGAAAAAGCUGAAAACUUGAUCCUUUGUAACUAUGUAAAAGACAUUUACUUGGUUGGUUGAAGUUGUGGGGCUUGGUAAAUGUCUGAUUCAGAAAUCCUUUCUGCUAGUUCUGUAAGCCCAUAUGCAUCUGUCACUUCUCAUUACAUAUAAUAUAAUCCUUAUAAGUCUUUUUUUUGCUUUUCUGUGACUUUUUUCUUUCUUUUGGCUUGAUCAAUAUUUAUUGCCCUCUGGCCUUGUUUGGCUUUAAGCUUUAGUAUUCAUAGGAUGAUGGGAUCAAUUCACCUCAGAAGAGAAUGAGAAUGCUCAGUAAAUGAGAUAAUAUGAAAGACUUGAAGUGCAGGUAUUAUGUGAUGUUCCGGCUUGAAGUGCAGUUUCUCAAUGAAUUUUGUUCCAGGGGUUGGCUGUUGUUGCAAUAUUGAGGCACUUUAGAUACCCUUGCAGGUUCAUUUAGCACCUGGAAGCAAAUUUAAUUUUCAAAAAUAUAUCAAAAGAUCAUUAGAAGAUGACUUUAAAGUCUGCGCAGACUUAGAAGUUCCUUCAGAUGAUGGCAAAAAGAAGAAAGCCAUAACAUCAAUCGGAAUAUUAACAGCAGCACUUCUGCUUCUGCUUUUGGUUGCAGGUAUUAUGUAGAGUAAGGGCUACAUAGGAGGAAAGAUCGCUGCAGAUAAAGGUUUGAAGCAUGUUAAAGUCUAGUGUGGUCAAAGUCGUAACUAGUAUCUUUUAUCUCCUAAGAUUCAAGUUUUGCCUUGUCCACAAUGUCUAAAUAGUUCAACUGUUGUCUUUAUGAACAAGAGAUAAGCUUAAUACUUUAUCUUAAUUGACAUGGAAGCAGAGCUCAGAGAAAUGGAUUUGCAGACAUGAUUUUUUACUUUAAAACAGAUAUUGAAAUGGUUGUAACUAUGAAUUGUAUUUUGGAUGAUGUUGAUGCAAUGAAACGUAGGCAUCAUUUUGAAUGCUGAUUUUAGUCCAA